GUUUGAUCAUGGCUCAGGAUGAACGCUGGUGGCGUGCCUAACACAUGCAAGUCGAACGAAGCAUAUAGAAGGAAGUUUUCGGAUGGAAUUCUAUAUGACUUAGUGGCGGACGGGUGAGUAACGCGUGGAUAAUCUGCCUUACACAGCGGGAUAACAAAUGGAAACAGUUGCUAAUACCGCAUAAGCACACAGUAUCGCAUGAUACAGGGUGAAAAGAUUUAUCGGUGUAAGAUGAGUCCGCGUCCCAUUAGCUAGUUGGUGAGGUAAAAGCUUACCAAGGCGACGAUGGGUAGCCGGCCUGAGAGGGUGAACGGCCACAUUGGGACUGAGACACGGCCCAGACUCCUACGGGAGGCAGCAGUGGGGGAUAUUGCACAAUGGGCGAAAGCCUGAUGCAGCGACGCCGCGUGAAGGAAGAAGUAUUUCGGUAUGUAAACUUCUAUCAGCAGGGAAGAAAAUGACG
rnacentral:rRNA from 1 species